ensembl:lncRNA FAM86B3P family with sequence similarity 86, member A pseudogene
CGCCCGAGGAGAACGCGGGUACCAAACUCUUGCUGCAGGGUUUUGAGAGCCGCUUCCUAGUGGCGCGCACACUGCGCUCCUUCCCCUGGCAGGUGGGCGGCGGGGCGAGCGGAGAGGCCCGCGGGGCUCGCGGAGUCCAGGGGCAGACGGGAUGGGUCUCCGUGCUGAAACCCCCGGCGCUCCUGCCACAGCUUAGAGGCAAAGUUAAGAGACUCAUCAGAUUCUGAGCUGCUGCAGGAUAUUUUGCAGAAGACUGUGAGGCAUCCUGUGUGUGUGAAGCACCCGCCGUCAGUCAAGUAUGCCUGGUGCUUUCUCUCAGAACUCAUCAAAAAGCACGAGGCUGUCCACACGGAGCCUUUGGAUGAGCUGUACGAGGCGCUGGCGGAGACCCUGAUGGCCAAGGAGUCCCCCCAGGGCCACCGGAGCUAUUUGUUGCCCUCGGGAGGCUCGGUCACACUCUCCGAAAGCAUGGCCAUCAUCUCCCACAGCACCACGGGUCUGGUCACAUGGGAUGCCGCCCUCUACAUUGCAGAAUGGGCCAUCGAGAACCCGGCAGCCUUCACUCACAGGUCUGUCUUAGAGCUUGGCAGUGGUGCCAGCCUCACAGGCCUGGCCAUCUGCAAGAUAUGCCGCCCCCGGGCAUACAUCUUCAGCGACUGUCACAGCCGAGUCCUCGAGCAGCUCCAAGGAAAUGUCCUUCUCAAUGGCCUCUCAUUAGAGGCAGACAUCACUGCCAACUUAGACAGCCCUAGGGUGACAAUGGCCCAGCGCUGGACUGGGACGUAGUGACGGUCCAUCAGCGCUCUGCCUUCCAGCUAGAUGUUGUCAUUGCAGCAGAUGUGCUGUAUUGCCCAGAAGCCAUUGUGUCACUGGUCAGGGUCCUGCGGAGGCUGGCUGCCUGCCGGGAGCACCAGCGGGCUUCUGAGGUCUACGUGGCCUUCGCUGUCCGCAAUUGAGAGACGUGCCAGCUGUUCACCACCGAGCUAGAAAGUUCCCCUAAAGCCCUGAGGAAUCACCGAAUGAAAGGGGCUUUUUACAAACAGGAAACUUAAGUGGAGUGCCAAUACACAACAUGGAUUGCAGCAGGCUCGGUCUAAGAUAAAACCAGACGGUGGACAACAGGCCAGGUAAGACCCACAUGGUCUGCACUCCCUGGUUCUGUUAUUGUGUGGAGGAAUGUCUUAGUCUGUUGCUCCUGUGGGUGUAGCUAAAGCACAAACCAGGAGUCCUCAUCCUUAGAAAGCAGUUAGACAGACAUCUGAGAACCAAUCCCAAACUGCAGCCUUCCACAGAACCUUCUGGAACCUUCUGGAAUGCAACUUAUUACUGCCAGAGGGUCUUUGAUGAGAGUCUACUCUCCACCAUUUGUCUUCAGAGAGAAUACCCACCUAUUCUCUUUCCGUGGAAAGGUAAGUUAUUGGAGUUUAUGCAGUCUGGUAUAUUAAUUGAGAGCUUUACUUCAAAGAAUGUCACGUUUAUGGUUCAGUCUCACAGACUGGGUUAAAAAGGCAGUGUUGACUAUUAAGUUGUAAAUUACUAUGAUGAUCAUUAUUAUUGAAGCAAGCUGUGAGAAAUGAGCAUUAUCUUACAAUAUCUGCAUUUUAGUGAACCUGAAGGAAGAGUGUAUUGCUGGAAUUACAGAAGCCUGAGAACCACAGGGGAAUUCUCACUGCAGGGUAUUCAGGGUCAAAAGCUGAUUCUAUUUUGCAUGCUCAAUCCUUCGUCAAUUUAUUUUUAUUUCUUUCUUUAUUUUUUGAGACAGGGUCUUACUCUGUCGCCCAGGCUGGAAGGCCUUGGUGCAAUCUCAGCUCACUGCAACCUCGCCUCCCGGGUUCAAGUGAUUCUCCUGCCUCAGCCUCCCACGUGACUGGGAUUACAGGUUUUUGCUUGUCUGAUGACUGAUGGCUCCACCCAGACCUGCCAACCACUCCCGCGGCCCCAUCCAGAAGUGGCUCAGCGUGCAUGAGGACCAUCUCCAACAUCCCUGCCCAGCCCCAGGGCGCAAGGCCGCUUGCAUCAGCAGCGUGCGUGAGCAGAUGCGCCAGCAAGAUAGCAAAAGCAGGAAGAGAGCCAGCCGGAAGACAAGUACCUCUGAAGAUGGAGAAAGAGGCCAUCUGGGUACAACGUUGCAGUUACGUCAGACCAGGACACUUCCUGUUUACAGGAGACUAUAAAACCUUUGCCCCAUCCUCACUUGGGGCUGACGCCGUUUUAGGCCUCAGCCCGCCAGCACCCAGGCUCUCAUUAAAACAGCAUGUUGCUCCACA